rnacentral:rRNA from 2 species
UACGUAGGACCCAAGCGUUAUCCGGAGUGACUGGGCGUAAAGAGUUGCGUAGGUGGUUAGUAAAGCGAAUAGUGAAACCUGGUGGCUCAACCAUACAGACUAUUAUUCGAACUCACUAACUCGAGAGUAGCAGAGGUAACUGGAAUUUCUUGUGUAGGAGUGAAAUCCGUAGAUAUAAGAAGGAACACCAAUGGCGUAGGCAGGUUACUGGGCUAUUUCUGACACUGAGGCACGAAAGCGUGGGGAGCGAACCGG